AUAUCUUCGGACGUGUUGUUCCCCCCAGCACCGCACUCGUUCUCCAGCUCUGUGGACCCCCCACUGUCAUCUGAAGUCUCCAUCCAACCUGCUACUGCCAAUGAAAGUCCAUCCACAAGUGUAGGCUCACCACCUACAGGCCCGUCCUUUGCAAAGAUGGCAAGCACUAGUGGGACAUGGCGCGUACGUAAAGUGCCUACGCCACCGCCUCCGCAGCCAGCCGAAGAGGAGGAAGGCACCUGCCCUCGCACACUUUGCCUUAGCGACGCCAUCGAGGCCGCUCUCCACGCUACUCCUUCGCCUUCUUCUAAGAAAAACAAAAGACCAAGCAUAAAAUUCUUUUUGCCACUGGAAUGCAGAGAGCACCUUAAUUUUGUUCCUUAUUAUUAUCUCUUGUGUUAAUAUUUUAUAAAUUUUUAACAGCUUGUUCUAUACAUAAAAAAUAGUUUUAAAGAAUUUAUAAAAAUUUGAAUACCUUAUAGAACUGCAAGUUUAAUUUUGCUGUUUAGUGACUAGUAAUUUGUUGGCGGCAAAAUUGUGCUAAUGUAUUUUAGAAAUUAUGUUUUGUUGAAAUAAAUACGAUUGCUGUUCAAUAUUGUCAUCUUAUAACAUAUUCUGUGUAACCAAUUUCAACUUUGUAAAAA